UAAAGGUAUUCCGGUAGACGAUGGGGAUGCGUUCCAUUAGAUAGUAGGCGGGGUAACGGCCCACCUAGUCUUCGAUGGAUAGGGGUUCUGAGAGGAAGGUCCCCCACAUUGGAACUGAGACACGGUCCAAACUCCUACGGGAGGCAGCAGUGAGGAAUAUUGGUCAAUGGGCGAGAGCCUGAACCAGCCAAGUAGCGUGAAGGAUGACUGCCCUAUGGGUUGUAAACUUCUUUUAUAAAGGAAUAAAGUCGGGUAUGGAUACCCGUUUGCAUGUACUUUAUGAAUAAGGAUCGGCUAACUCCGUGCCAGCAGCCGCGGUAAUACGGAGGAUCCGAGCGUUAUCCGGAUUUAUUGGGUUUAAAGGGAGCGUAGAUGGAUGUUUAAGUCAGUUGUGAAAGUUUGCGGCUCAACCGUAAAAUUGCAGUUGAUACUGGAUAUCUUGAGUGCAGUUGAGGCAGGCGGAAUUCGUGGUGUAGCGGUGAAAUGCUUAGAUAUCACGAAGAACUCCGAUUGCGAAGGCAGCCUGCUAAGCUGCAACUGACAUUGAGGCUCGAAAGUGUGGGUAUCAAACAGGAUUAGAUACCCUGGUAGUCCACACGGUAAACGAUGAAUACUCGCUGUUUGCGAUAUA
rnacentral:rRNA from 1 species